AUAUUCUAGCCUAGAUUUGAAAAGACGGUUGACUAUUUCUGUAGGAAAAAAAUAACCUAUUUUUAUUUUGGAAUGAGAACUAAGUGACACGGCUAGAAGAACAGCAGACCAGCUGCACUGAAAGAGAAUGUAUAACAUGGAAAGCCAACAGAAGAUCUCAUGAAGACCAAACAAAGAGAGGCACAAGACUCAGAUUUCAUUGAUAGUUCUCUCAGAAGGACAGUAUUCUGAAGUGCCUGGAGAUGACAUGUAGAAUGACUGUGUUUUCCUUUUUAAUCUGGCUCGUUUGUUAGCCAAAGAGAGGCUGCGGCGGCUUGAAUUAAUGAUUUCCGAAAUGAACUUCUUGCAGUCCACGCAUACCUCCAUGGUACUCCAGUCUUCCAUGAGUUCUUUUGGAAAGAGUGCUUCAUCACUUGAUUUAUCUACAGACUUUGACUUUGAGGACAACCUAAAAAUAAAGGAACAAUUCUGAUCUUA